CAGCCGCCGCGGGAAUACAGAGGAUGCAAGCGCUAUCCGGAAUGAUUGGGCGUAAAGCGUCUGUAGGUGGCUUUUCAAGUCCGCCGUCAAAUCCCAGGGCUCAACCGUGGACAGGCGGUGGAAACUACCAAGCUGGAGUACGGUAGGGGCAGAGGGAAUUUCCGAUGGAGCGGUGAAAUGCGUUGAGAUCGGGAAGAACACCAACGGAGAAAGCACUCUGCUGGGCCGACACUGACACUGAGAGACGAAAUCUAGGGGAGCAAAUGGGAUUAGAUACCCCGGUAGUCCCUGUCUCUUAUAC
rnacentral:rRNA from 1 species